CCCUUAGAUGUCCGGGGCUGCACGCGCGCUACACUGAAGGAAUCAGCGUGCUAAAACCAUUGUCGAAAGGCAUUGGUAAACCCAUUAAAAUCCUACGUGAUUGGGAUCGGGAAUUGCAAUUAUUUCCCUUGAACGAGGAAUUCCCAGUAAGUGUGGGUCAUAAGCUCGCGUUGAUUACGUCCCUGCCCUUUGUACACACCGCCCGUCGCUGCCCGGGACUGAGCCGUUUCGAGAAAAGCGGGGACUGCUGCUGUCGGGGCUUUCGGGCCUUGGCUUCGGUGGAAACCGCUUUAAUCGCAGUGGCAUGAACCGGGCAAAAGUCGUAACA
rnacentral:rRNA from 1 species